AGUGAACGCUGGCGGUAGGCCUAACACAUGCAAGUCGAACGGCAGCACAGUAAGAGCUUGCUCUUACGGGUGGCGAGUGGCGGACGGGUGAGGAAUACAUCGGAAUCUACUUUUUCGUGGGGGAUAACGUAGGGAAACUUACGCUAAUACCGCAUACGACCUACGGGUGAAAGCAGGGGAUCUUCGGACCUUGCGCGAUUGAAUGAGCCGAUGUCGGAUUAGCUAGUUGGCGGGGUAAAGGCCCACCAAGGCGACGAUCCGUAGCUGGUCUGAGAGGAUGAUUCGGCACACUUGAACUGAGACACGGUCCCGACUCCCACGGGAGGCAGCAGUGGGGAAUAUUGGACAAUGGGCGCAAGCCUGAUCCAGCCAUACCGCGUGGGUGAAGAAGGCCUUCGGGUUGUAAAGCCCUUUUGUUGGGAAAGAAAAGCAGCAGGUUAAUACCCCGCUGUUCUGACGGUACCCAAAGAAUAAGCACCGGCUAACUUCGUG
rnacentral:rRNA from 1 species